UAUUGAGAUUUUUCCACAUAAACUUCUCAUGCCUCUUGUUUGAAUUUUUAUAGUGAAAAUACACUAACCUGGUGCUCUAGGGUCAAUGUCAACACAGUACUAAUUAAAUUAUUAUAUAUUGCUAUUUUGUUGGGUGUAUUACCCAUGUUUCCUGUAGUAUUUAUAUAUUUUUAUUACACAUGUUACAUAUUUAUUGUUUGUGUACUGCAUAUGUUAUUGUUUAUAAUAA
rnacentral:lncRNA from 1 species